UAAAGGCAUGGUCCUGACCUUAUUAUCAGCUCUAACCCAACUUACACAUGCAAGUCUCCGCAGUCCUGUGAGUACGCCCUUAAUCCCCUGCCCGGGGACGAGGAGCGGGCAUCAGGCACAAAUUUUUAGCCCAAGACGCCUGGCCAAGCCACACCCCCAAGGGAAUUCAGCAGUGAUAAAUAUUAAGCCAUGAGUGAAAACUUGACUCAGUCAGGGUUAAUGAGGGCCGGUAAAACUCGUGCCAGCCACCGCGGUUAAACGAGAGGCCCUAGUUGAUAGUACAACGGCGUAAAGGGUGGUUAAGGAGAGCACGCAAUAAAGCCAAAUGGCCCUUUGGCUGUCAUACGCUUCUAGGUGUCCGAAGCCCGAUAUACGAAAGUAGCUUUAGAAAAGCCCACCUGACACCACGAAAGCUGAGAAACAAACUGGGAUUAGAUACCCCACUAUGCUCAGCCAUAAACCUAGAUGUCCAACUACAAUUAGCCAUCCGCCCGGGUACUACGAGCAUUAGCUUGAAACCCAAAGGACCUGACGGUGCCUUAGACCCCCCUAGAGGAGCCUGUUCUAGAACCGAUAACCCUCGUUAAACCUCACCACUUCUAGCCAUCCCAGCCUAUAUACCGCCGUCGUCAGCUUACCCUGUGAAGGCAAUAAAAGUAAGCAAAAUGGGCACAACCCAGAACGUCAGGUCGAGGUGUAGCGUACGAAGCGGGAAGAAAUGGGCUACAUUUUCUAUCAUAGAACACUACGGACAUGCAACAUGAAAUAGUGCUUGAAGGAGGAUUUAGUAGUAAAAAGGAAACAGAGUGUCCUUUUGAACCCGGCUCUGAGGCGCGUACACACCGCCCGUCACUCUCCCCUGUCAAAAUGCAAUAAAGAUACUUAACACCAAAGCGCUGACAAGGGGAGGCAAGUCGUAACAUGGUAAGUGUACCGGAAGGUGCACUUGGAUUAAAUU
rnacentral:ncRNA from 1 species